rnacentral:rRNA from 1 species
AUUGAACGCUGGCGGCAGGCUUAACACAUGCAAGUCGAGCGGAGAUGAGGUGCUUGCACCUUAUCUUAGCGGCGGACGGGUGAGUAAUGCUUAGGAAUCUGCCUAUUAGUGGGGGACAACAUUCCGAAAGGAAUGCUAAUACCGCAUACGUCCUACGGGAGAAAGCAGGGGAUCUUCGGACCUUGCGCUAAUAGAUGAGCCUAAGUCGGAUUAGCUAGUUGGUGGGGUAAAGGCCUACCAAGGCGACGAUCUGUAGCGGGUCUGAGAGGAUGAUCCGCCACACUGGGACUGAGACACGGCCCAGACUCCUACGGGAGGCAGCAGUGGGGAAUAUUGGACAAUGGGGGGAACCCUGAUCCAGCCAUGCCGCGUGUGAAGAAGGCCUUAUGGUUGUAAGGCACUUUAAGCGAGGAGGAGGCUACUGAGACUAAUACUCUUGGAUAGUGGACGUUACUCGCAGAAUAAGCACCGGCUAACUCUGUGCCAGCCGCCGCGGUAAUAC